GAUCCAUAACUUAUAGCUAAUUUUUUGUAUUAUUUUUUGAUGUAUUUUUCAUCGAGAUUGGUUCAGUUUACGAGGUGAAAGUACGGUAACAGAUUUUGAGGUGAGGAAAAGCGGCCGUGAGAAAAGUGACCGCCAUGAUUGUUGUUGUUUUGUUUACCUAACUUUAGGUUAUGUCUUCUGUUUACCUGCACAAUAUACAAUGUUCAAAUUGUUUAUCUGAUAAAGACUCUACCGCCUUUACGUAUAAGGAAUAGAAUUUCCCGUUUUUUUCUUGCUUGUUAUUCUAAUGCCAUCAUUGUGGAAAAAUCGCGAGUGGAACUUGUGUUUAACAAGAUUUUGGGACGGAAUCGAGUGCACUGGACCUGCUCACCGCACUGUAACUUAGGAGGUGUCCAAGUGUCAAGUCAAAGGAUCAUACUGAUGCAGCAUUAAUUUUAGUAAAUCCUGUCACUCUCUACUGGGAUUCUCUGUAAGGAUAUUGCCAGAACCGGACGUUUAACUCAAUGAACACCAAUUCUUGUGAUCUGAUCCAACCAGAGUGGGCACCAGUGACCUUUGGACCUUUGGAGAUAGAGGGUGCUCUCCAGAAAAGAGAGACCACCCCAGUCAUAUGAAUCAGACAAUCCUGUGCUCCCAUAUUCCAGAACUGGAACUGGACUUAGAGUAAAUGCAGGGUCUAUCUUGUCGCUAUCGGUGAAAUUUUCCACAUCUCAGUAGGGACUGACUGGCUUCAAAUUUUCUUCAGACGCCACAAGGAGCAUCGUUUUUCCCCUUAGUCUUACCUAUCUUACUUUCUUUAGUUCUAGAAAUUACUCUUUAAAUUUAAUCGUUAAAACUCAAACGUUACAUGUAGGUAUCCUAAAGGGUUAGAAAUCAGAGUAUCAUAGUAUUUGAAGUUAGAAUAAAUAAGUCAUAGUUAGAAUGGUCUGGCAGCGUCUCUCUUAAUGUGUGUAAAUUUUCUCUCAUUAUCUUAAUAAAUUUUUUAUUUUCUUUCUUAGAUAA